UUUUGGUUUUGUGCAGUGGCUCUGAACCUUGUUAGAGCUACCAAACCCAACCAGUUCAUAUGCAUAUUCACCAAACCCUUCAUUCGUGAAAAAUAAAAGCAUGAUUUUUUU